rnacentral:rRNA from 1 species
GACAGAGGUGCUAAGCGUUAGGCGGAAUCACUGGGCUUAAAGCGUGUGUAGGCGGGGGCCUAAGUACCUUGUGAAAUCCCUCGGCUCAACCGAGGAACUGCGCCCAAAACUGUCGUGCUCGAGGGAGACAGAGGUGAGCGGAACUUAGGGUGGAGCGGUGAAAUGCGUUGAUAUCCUAAGGAACACCGGUGGCGAAAGCGGCUCACUGGGUCUCUUCUGACGCUGAGGCACGAAAGCUAGGGUAGCGAACGGG